rnacentral:misc_RNA from 1 species
AUUCGAGAUCGACCUGGAAGGUACGUUUAAUGUAAUAGUUAUCUUCAAAUUUCCGAUCCCUUAAUUUGCUUGUUGAAAAUAGUGCUGAGAUAGAUAUCCUUUAUCUGUUCCCAGUGAUCUAUAUCUACUUAACUUUGUCAAUGUUGCCUAUGUUUCGCUUUAGUCAACCUUAACUGAUUAUGUACAGGUACUUAUCAUGGAUAAGGUUA